rnacentral:tRNA from 1 species
GGGGUUGUGGUUUAGUGGUAUAAUGCUUCUUUAGCACGUGGAUCACCCGAUUCAUUGAUAUAGAAGAGGUCCGGCGUUCGAUUCGCCGCUACUCCA